rnacentral:lncRNA from 1 species
GGUCAAGAAUAACAAUAGCUGUGGACAUAGCUGCUGCAUUGGAGUAUCUUCAUAAUCAAUGCACUCCUCCUUUGGUUCAUUGUGAUCUGAAACCAAGCAAUGUCCUUUUGAAUGAUGAAAUGGUGGCAUGUCUUAGUGACUUUGGGCUUGCAAAGUUUCUUUACAGUGACUCUUCAACAACAUUUAGUGACUCAUCAAGCAUAGUAGGACCAAGAGGGUCAGUCGGAUACAUUGCACCAGGUGAGUGUCUUAUUCUUAUAUUCUUCGCAUCUCAUGUAUCAUAUUAUUUACCACCUAAACAAUUUAGUCACGCUUCAAUCAAUUAAAAUAGAGUUCUUAGCAUUUUUUUCUUAAUAUUGCAGAGUAUGGCAUGGGGUGCAAAAUCUCAGUUGAGUCUGAUGUGUAUAGCUAUGGAGUUAUUCUUCUAGAGAUGAUCACAGGAAAGCAUCCGACUGAUGAGAUGUUUAAGGAUAGUAUGAAUCUUCACAAGUUUGUGGAAGCAGCACUGCCACAAAAAAUUGGUGAUGUCUGCGAUCCCAGGCUCAACACAUAUGAUGAAUUUCAAGGAGAAAAUCAUGAAAUGGUCCAAGAACAACAUUUUGUUAUACAGCUGGCUCAAGUUGGUCUAAAGUGCUCUGAGGCAUCACCGAAGGAUCGACCGACAAUGGAGACUGUUUAUGCAGAACUUGUCACCACCAAAGAGAAGUAUCAGUGUUCACAUUUGACGAAAUAGAUAAACAUUGUUGUAACUCACUUCUACUACAGUAAUGGGGUUGCAAGAUGCAGCCUCUACAUGUCUUUGUUUUAGAACGAUCUUAUUAUCUUAUUUAACUUCCAACAGUAAUAAGAAAUUUGUAUUCGAUACAUUUUCUGUAAAGACUAAACGGGGGGCACAUGGAACUACGAAUAAAGGGUCCCUGUGAAAUAUAAGAUUAUCCUAUUCUAGUGCCAUUGCCAAGUUCUCAGGCACUGCGAGUUGGCUGGAGACCCCCCCUCCCGCUAUUGUACCCUUUCUCAUCCGGGAUGUAAACCUUUUUGCUAGUUAAUGAAAGGAGUUUUUAUGGUUAAAAAAAAACAUCUAUACUAUAAUUUGUAAAUGCAUUUGAGUUGGCCUAUUUUUUUUAACAAAAUCCUUAACUGAAAUUCAUAACAUUGGGUAAUUAUCAUCGUUGUAAAAAAAUCCCAGUAACUACUGGAUGUUCGGCUAGAUUAAAUUUCCUAAUAGCCCUAGACUUACCAUUUACAAAAAUCUUAUUCUACGAACUAUCCCCGAAUAUAUCCAAUUAAUCUCCCAAAUCGUUGCAACUCUCGGGAUCUUCAGUUCACUUACCAACAAAAUUGCCCCUCCACCGGUCUCGCCGUCCCGGGCUCUGCCUCGCCGCCGCGAGGCCCUUCCACCACCGGCUGCGCCCUCAGCCGCCGUCGCCGGUCUGCAGCUCCCGGCUGUGGCCGUGCUCCUCCCCCGCUCGUCCUCGUGGCCGCCCCACCAUGGAGAUCCCUGCGCGGCUCCUCCUCGUUCGUCGUCGUGGUCGGAUCUGCGCCACCGCGGCUCCUAUCUGCCGGGCGACCGUGAUCCUCCGUGCGCGCCGUCGUGCCGCCGCCCUCGACCGGGCCGAGCCCGCCUGUGCCUUCGGCCGACCCCACCCGCCCGCCAUGGCCUCGGCUUGGCUUGCCCCCAAUUGUUGGGGAAAAAGAUGAGAGGAUAAAAUUACUCGCCCAAAAAAAAGAUAAAAUUGGCCCACUGACAAGUGGGUCCCAAUUGUCAGUGUAAUAAGAGAAAAUAAAUAGGGACCGAGAUAUAAGGGCUAGUGUUGAAGAGAAAGAUGAAAUAGGAGAUAAUUUUUUUAGGGAGAAACCUCUAAACAGGAUUUAGGACUUUGUUUUAGGUGCUACUGCUGAAAAUGCUCUUAUAUAUCUACGAUGAAUAUAACGGUUCAUUAUUUUUUCAUUGGCUUGUACCUUUGAUGAUUCUCUUGCUCCCGCUCUCACGAUGGAUUUAUCUGAUAUGUGAGCGAGAGUGAGCAAGUAAGCAAGCAGAGAGAAACCAUUUCCGGCCGGUCUGUGUUUUGCUAGUCCUAACUUGGGUUGUCUUGUGCGUGGGCAUGGUCGGUGGCGGACUGUUGAGGCUGUCGAGCGGUUCGGUUCGUGCAGAACGACGAGGAGGUGACGGUGCACAACAUUCGCAAGAAGGCAUUGCCCGCAUCAUCCCAGCAGACCUCCCAGGUACAAUACGACGAUCCAAUUCCGUCCACGCUCACAACAUAUGCCGAUGAAUUAUUUAUCGAUUCAAUUACAUCAUGUAUUUGUGCGUGCAGGCAACGAGGCGCACGGGGAAAAGUUCUUCUUCAGCCGGGCGGUGCCGCGGUGCGGGCGCAGGCCCCGUGGGGUGGCACCCGGCGUGUGGAAGGCGUCCGGGAACGAGGAGGUCGUGGUCGUCUCGCCGCAGCUCGUGCCCAUGGCCCUAAAGCAGACACUAGUUUUCUUCUCCGUCGACGGCGGCGGCGCUGCCGCCGCGCGCACCCAAUGGGCCAUGAACGAGUACGGCCCCACCCCGCCAUGGCCACCGCAGCAGCCUACAACGGCAAGGCUGUGGAGGAGUGGGUUGUCUGCCGCGUGUUCCAGAAGGCCACGUGAGCUCAACGCAGGCGCGGACUAUCGUCCCCGGUCUCGUCCUGCGUGACCGAGGAAUCAGGAGAUGACAAUGAAGAAGAAGAGAUGGCUAGUUCUAACUAGCCGAGGAUUUUUCUUUUUCUAAUCCGUCUUUCUUUCCUUAGAUCGUUAGUUGUGCAGCCAAUGUUGUUCGAUCUGGUAGCUCUAGGUAGGAAUAAGAUCCCCAAUGCAUGGGAACGCAGCAAGAGAUUGAUUGAGCUUUGUAGAACAAAACAUGAAACAUCAAUUCUGCGAUCUCUGUCUUGUGGCAGCCAAUAAUUAAGUAUGAGGAGAGAUCUCCAAGUUGAUUGGUUCAUGUUUUGUUGUACAAAGCUCGACCGAUCGUUUGCUGGGUUCCCUUGCAUGCACUAGCAAGGAAUCUUAUUCCUAGCUACAGCUACUAGAACCACAUUGGCAGCGUGCGAACGAUCUAAGAAAGAAACACGGAUUAGAAAAUUCUCUCCUGGCUAGUUAGAACUAGCGAUCUUUUCUUCUUUGUCAUAAUCUCCUAAUUCCUCGGUUACGUAGAACGACGUCGGGACCAACUUUCCGCUCAUAUCCGGCGGGUUUCCGCCGUGGCAUUGAGCGCACGUGGCCUUCUAGAACACGCGGCAGACCACCUAGUCCCCCACAGCUUUGCCGAUGUUGGCUGCGGGUCUACAGCGGCCAGCUGGUGGGGUGGAUGCGGUCCUCGUGCAUGGCACGCUGGAUGCAUGCGCCGCCAAUUGGCGGCGAAGAAGAAGACGACCGUCUACUUGAGGGCCAUGGGCAUGCGCCGUGGGGAGACGACCAUAAGCUCCUCCUUUUCGGACACCCUCCAUACGUCGGUGGCACCGGGUACCACCCUGUGGACCCUUCCCUCGCACUUAGUCACAGGCCGGUUGAAGAAGAACCUAUCUCCGUGUGCCUCGUUACAUGAACGCACACAUACAUAAUCCCGUCGAUAUAUAAUUAAUUCAUCGAUAUUGCGAGUUUGGAGAUGCAAUGGAUCAUGGAUGGCGGUAGGGUUGGUUCGUACUUUGGAGGUCUGACGGAUGUAGGGUUGCAAGUGGGAGCCUACUUAAAUCACACUUCUAGUUUAUUUGAGAUUUGCUAGUUCAAAAUCUUGACUCAAAAUUUGAACUAAAAUUGAAAGAUUGAACUACAAGUGGGACUUAAGUGGGCUCCCACUUGCAACCCUAGACAGAUGGAGGCGAGCAAGGUCAGAGAGUGGGUUGAUGUCGGACAUGAGCUGGAAGGACAAUUUCUUCUUGUGAGAGUGGUGCACCGUCGGCUCCUCCUCGUACGAUAGGAAUCGGAACCAACUAGGCAGCCCCAACACUCCGUCACCAGCCUAUUGCAUUGUCAUGCCCAUGCACAAAACAACCCAACCUAAAACUAGCAAAACACACACUCACUCACACAUACGAACUACGUCCGGUGUCGGUGUUUGCGUCACGAAAUGGUUUGUUGGCUACUGCUCGCUUGCUCACUCACUCACAUGUCAGAUAAAUCUCUAGAGAUAGAUAGAUAGGGGGGGGGGGGGAGUGUGCGGUGGCGCAUAGGAGACUCAACCAUCAUGUCUGGAAUGUUCUCGAUUCUGAAGAGAUAUCCAGGACAUACAGAGAGAGCGUCACAUGCUUAGUUACCCAUCUCACAAACAAACAGAAUUACGAAUUCUGUAUGUAUGAUAUUCACAAUUUAGAUCUAAUAUAAUCCAUAAAUAAGAGAAAAAAACUUGAGAAGUAAAGCGAAAUUCAUAUCUUAAAUCUGGGAAAAAGAUCACAAACCUUCCAUUUUUAGAUCCGCAACUUUCCAUGAACAAACACCACAAAAAUAAUCCAGAACCACCAACAAUUACCUGUGGAUUUGGAUAUGGCAGUUGUUAUGGACUUGGUGGUCAAUUGGGUUUCUUCCAACACAAGACAAUCGAUUCUCUUUGUGAAAAAAAAAGAAUAAUUGAAUUUUGUACCUGAUUGCCAUGUUGGAGAUAAGGAGAGGAGUCUACCCGAGGUCGAAGAAGAGGAGUGUCUUCCCCAUGCUCUUCAAUUGAACCAGCUGGCGGCAGGCGCUGGCGUUGUAUCUCGAGGAGCGGUGGUUACUGGUAGAAGCUGGUGGAGCGGUCGGACCAAAAUACAAUAAUCAUGACCCAAGAAACAUAUUGGUUGAAACAUUGUUGCGGAUAUCCCCAUUGCAAGUAAGCUAGCUCACAUGCAAAGCGAAAUCCAAGCCAAGCUAAUACAGAAGACAACACCUAAACAUCAUUUUAAAUGGAACUACGAGAUACCCCACAUCACAGCACAUAAAAGCACCCAGAAUACCAUGGAUGUAUCAAGUAAGAGUUCUGAGUUCUGACCUGGUAGGAAGGUAAAUCAUACUACUGGGGAAACUAACAAUUAAGAUAAACAUACCUUUCCAGGGGUAAAUCAUACUCUUGGGCCCAGCCGCGUUUUGCGCAUUGAUGUAGGGGAGCUGGUCGACUGGUGACGUGGUCCUGCAGCAGGAGCUCGUAUAGUGGUGGGACGUGAUGGCAGCCUUUGCCUUCUCCUCGUCCAUGCCCUGCCCGCUCAGGGAGAAGGUAGGGUUCGAUGACGAGGUGGUGGGAUCCAGAGGGAGGAUAGGAGUUGUCGUAAGAGGGAGAAGGGGCAGAUCUGGAGGAGAGGCAGGGGCAAGGAGGAGUUGGGGGCGGCCAGAUUGGGCAAGGGAGGCUGGUAGGAGACCGGGGCGAGCAGCAGAGGAGGACGGAGCAGACUAGGGGAGGAAGGCAGGGCAACACGGAUCAGGGGAGGAACG